GAAGAACCUUACCAAGGCUUGACAUGUUCUCGAUCGCCGUAGAGAUACGGUUUCCCCUUUGGGGCGGGUUCACAGGUGGUGCAUGGUUGUCGUCAGCUCGUGUCGUGAGAUGUUGGGUUAAGUCCCGCAACGAGCGCAACCCUCGUUCCAUGUUGCCAGCACGUCGUGGUGGGGACUCAUGGGAGACUGCCGGGGUCAACUCGGAGGAAGGUGAGGACGACGUCAAAUCAUCAUGCCCCUUAUGUCUUGGGCUUCACGCAUGCUACAAUGGCCGGUACAAUGGGUAGCGAUACUGUGAGGUGGAGCUAAUCCCAAAAAGCCGGUCUCAGUUCGGAUUGGGGUCUGCAACUCGACCCCAUGAAGUCGGAGUCGCUAGUAAUCGCAGAUCAGCAACGCUGCGGUGAAUACGUUCCCGGGCCUUGUACACACCGCCCGUCAAGUCACGAAAGUUGGUAACACCCGAAGCCGGUGGCCUAACCCUUGUGGGGGGAGC
rnacentral:rRNA from 1 species